rnacentral:ncRNA from 1 species
GUAAUGGUUGGGCUUAAAGUGCCUGUAAGUGGUCCACUGUCAAAUCCUAAGGGUUAGCUCUAGACAGGGAGUGGAAACUACCACGUUGGAGUAUGGUAGGGGUGAGGGAAUUUUCGGUGGAGGAAUGAAAAGAACACCAAUGACAAAAGCACUCUGAAGGGCCGCCAUUGCCAUUUAGAGACCAAAGCUAGGGGGAGUCAAUGGAAGAAUUAGAUACCUAGUCGUAAACAAUAGAUACUAGGCGUUGUGCGUAUUGUCCCAUGCAGUGUUAAUAGCUAACGUGGAGAAUGUUUGCA